rnacentral:misc_RNA from 1 species
AACGCACAUUGCGCCCUUUGGUAUUCCAAAGGGCAUGCCUGUUCGAGCGUCAUUUGUACCCUCAAGCUUUGCUUGGUGUUGGGCGUCUUUUGUCUUUGGCUUCGCCCAAAGACUCGCCUUAAAACGAUUGGCAGCCGGCCUACUGGUUUCGCAGCGCAGCACAUUUUUGCGCUUGCAAUCAGCAAAAGAGGACGGCACUCCAUCAAGACUACAUUUUUACGUUUGACCUCGGAUCAGGUAGGGAUACCCGCUGAACUUAA